CAUCACCCCCCAGCAGGAGAAGACGAGUAUUGCCAAGUGCAUCACAGACCUGAAGGCGUUGGCUAAAGUCCAGCAGGCUAAGGCCACUGCGUAAUUCAUCGCUGUAACAGUCUAGACCUUCUCUCCUGAACCCCAACUGUUUUCAUUUCAAAUAAAACUAUUUCCUCUUUAACCAUA